AGCUUUGUUCCAGGCCUCCUUCCCACCCAUGUCGCUGCUUGUGUUGGACGAAACAGCAGGUGAUCUGCCAGUCCGAGACACCAACCAGAAGCCCUCCGUGAUAGCGGCUAUACAAGAUGUGUCAUCUUCUGCUGUCCCCCCUGCCAAAUCCCAAGGGUUGAAAACAUGGAUGAAAGCAUCAGGUUCAAUGGCAAGGACUCGGCGCCAGAUAAACCGAGUGAAC